rnacentral:piRNA from 1 species
AAAGAAGUGCAGUUUGGCCCUGGCAGAGUGG